rnacentral:rRNA from 1 species
CCUACGGGAGGCUGCAGUGAGGAAUAUUGGUCAAUGGCCGGAAGGCUGAACCAGCCAAGCCGCGUGAAGUGCGAAGGUGCCAAGCAUUGUAAACUUCUUUUGUCAAGGGACAAAAUCAGGCUCGAGAGCCUGACAGAGGUUACUUGAAGAAAAAGCAUAGGCUAACCCCGUGCCAGCAGCCGCGGUAAUACGGAGGAUGCAAGCGUUGUCCGGAUUUACUGGGUGUAAAGGGCGUGCAGCCGGGACGACACGUCCGAUGUGAAAUCCCGCGGCUCAACCGCGGAACUGCAUUUGCAACUGGUUUUCUUGAGUGCCGGAGAGGUCAUCGGAAUUCCUUGUGUAGCGGUGAAAUGCGUAGAUAGAAGGAAGAACACCAGUGGCGAAGGCGGAUGACUGGACGGCAACUGACGGUGAGGCGCGAAAGCGUGGGGAGCAAACAGGAUUAGAUACCCUGGUAGUC